rnacentral:snRNA from 2 species
AGCUUUGCACAGUGGCAGUAUCGUAGCCAGUGAGCUUUACCCGAGGCGCGAAUAUUGCUAGUUAAAUAUUUAUAAAAACCUUUCGAGCAGCACCUGAACAAGAAUAGGUUUAGAGGAGCUCUGGUCGUCUGAGUUUGUGCUUGUCCCAGGGUGGGGA